rnacentral:tRNA from 1 species
GUCUCUAAUUUAGAAACUUUGAAAGUUUUACUUUGGCUUAAUAGCCUAGAGUCU